rnacentral:rRNA from 1 species
AUGGCGGCCCGUGAGCUCCUGGACGAGCGCGCGGAAGCCCGCCGCGUUGGUCUUGACCCUCAUGGGGUUGGAGAUGUACACCACCUUGAUCGGCUUCUUGCCCCCGCUGCCGCCCGCCUUGCUGCCCCCCUUGCUGCCCCCCUUGCCCGAGCUGCCGCCGCUCCGGGGACUGGGGCUCCGCUGCUGCUUCCGGUGAUCCAUCAGCUGAGCUCGCUAGUGGAUGGGCCGGCAGGAAGGGGAGCAGCGAGGCGAUCUGGUUCGUCUCAGAAGGAAGAGAGGGGAGUGAGGGCUUCUGCUGCGGCUGGUCCUGGCCAUGUACGAACAAAGGCUACUGGCAUUGUGGGGGAUUUUUAG